AGCAAUGUAUAAUUGUAUGUUUGAUUGAUGAAUUUACUGUUUAUUAUCAUCGAUGUUAUUGAGAUGAUUAUAUCUGUUGAUCCUUGUCAACAAAGGGCCGUGUACCACCCCGCAGCCGCGCAUCACGGUCGUGCAUCACGGUCGUGCGCAGGCAGAGGUUCGCUUGCGAACGGUGGCGGCAUCACGGACAUCCCGCACCGCAUGUGAACGCGGUGAUUACGGAAGGGCGGUGGCCGCAGAUGGUGGCAACCGCUGCCAAGCGCUAGCAGCGGCAGCGGCAGCCGCGCCAAGCGCCAACGGCGGCCAAGCGCGAGCAGGAACCGCGGCAGCCGCGCGCAGGUAGUGGCAGCGGUCGCGCGUGGGCACAGGCAGCGCGGCGGUAUGGCAACCGCGCACCGGCGGCGGCCGCGCGUGGGUAGGCCGUGCACAGGCGGCGGCCACGCGCGGGCAGGAACCGCCGCAGCGGCCGCUCGUGGGCAGAGGCAGCCCCCCCGCGGCGGCAGCGGCCGCGCGCUGGCAACAGCCGCGGCCAGCCGUGCGCGCCGUCCGCAGGCAGGAAAGGUCGCAGCGGCCGUGCGCGCGCAAGCGGCGGCAGCGCCGCACGUCGCAACGGGCGCAGGCAGUUUAGGGUUUUUGGCAUAAUUACGGUUUUGACCUCGAGAAUGAGUAUUGAAAUUUCAAGCCUUCAUCAACGGACGCAUGCAUUAAUAGCGCAGGCGAAGGAAAGGACACUUGAUAGGGCUAAAACGCCGCCGACAACUAGUCCGCGUCAGCAGUCGCCGUAGCAGCUCUCUUUCCCAGGCUGUUGCCCGUCACAUGUAGUGCCUCCUCGUCGGUCGUCCCUUCUGACGGUGAACUUGCGCCUACCACAGCUCGAGAAUUGGUCGAUACUGGAGGGGAACGAUUACAACAGUCUGUGUGAGGGACUGAUUCUUUAGUUUACUGCAUAGGACAAUAAACUAAGUGGGAACGUCACUGUAAUGCUAAUAAUGCUACUUCAAGCCAUCUCACAGUACUGAAAACAUUUCUUCUAGAGAGGUUAUGAAUAUAACGCAGAAAGGUCAGCCACGGUCCCCAAAAGUGGAGACACCACCACUAUAAUGAACAGUGUUUAACACGUUUAAGGACAAAAUGAAGUGCUAUAAUAUUAAAUUAACCCACCAAAUUGGGUUGGCCAA